rnacentral:rRNA from 1 species
AUUGAACGCUGGCGGCCUGCUUUACACAUGCAAGUCGAACGGCAGCGCGGGCUUCGGCCUGGCGGCGAGUGGCGAACGGGUGAGUAAUGCAUCGGAACGUGCCCAGUAGUGGGGGAUAGCCCGGCGAAAGCCGGAUUAAUACCGCAUACGACCUGAGGGUGAAAGCGGGGGACCGAAAGGCCUCGCGCUAUUGGAGCGGCCGAUGUCGGAUUAGCUAGUUGGUGGGGUAAAGGCUUACCAAGGCGACGAUCCGUAGCUGGUCUGAGAGGACGACCAGCCACACUGGGACUGAGACACGGCCCAGACUCCUACGGGAGGCAGCAGUGGGGAAUUUUGGACAAUGGGGGCAACCCUGAUCCAGCCAUGCCGCGUGCGGGAAGAAGGCCUUCGGGUUGUAAACCGCUUUUGUUCGGGAAGAAAUCCUCUGGGCUAAUACCCCGGGGGGAUGACGGUACCGGAAGAAUAAGCACCGGCUAACUACGUG